GGAGCCAUGGCUCAGCAGUAGAACAUCUGGCUGGCAUGCAGAAGGCCCCAGGUUCAAUCCCCAGCAUCUCCA
rnacentral:tRNA from 1 species